rnacentral:rRNA from 1 species
CCCGCAACGAGCGCAACCCUUGUCUUUAGUUGUCCAUCAUUAAGUUGGGCACUCUAAGGAGACUGCCGAUGACAAAUCGGAGGAAGGUGGGAUGACGUCAAAUCAUCAUGCCCUUUAUGUCCUGGGCUACACACGUGCUACAAUGGUCGGUACAACGAGGAGCAAGUCAGCGAUGGCAAGCAAAUCUCUAAAAGCCGAUCCCAGUUCGGAUUGCAGGCUGCAACUCGCCUGCAUGAAGUCGGAGUUGCUAGUAAUCGCGGAUCAGAAUGCCGCGGUGAAUGCGUUCCCGGGUCUU